CAAACUAUGCUUGCAGACCCUUAUCGACGUGGUGCUGUCUCAACACUAACUUGGAUCUGAAUCUCCCUGAGUGCUGGAGUCAGUUCUCCCAAGCGGUGGAGUUCUACCUUGCAUCUCCUACCAGGACCGCUUAGUAAUAGCUGUCUGCUGGCUCAGCGUCUAGUUCAUUUCAUACUUUCCAGAUCACUGUGUUUUAGCAGUGUUGGAAUUUGAAGUCUACUGUCUGUAUAAGGUGAGGAUGCUGGACGCUGUCUUCAAACCUCCUUCCUCCCGCAGAUGACCCGUCCUCUCUUUUCUAGCUGUAUGGAAGAGGUUGCUUGUUGCUGUGGC
rnacentral:lncRNA from 1 species